rnacentral:rRNA from 1 species
CCUACGGGGGGCAGCAGUGAGGAAUAUUGGUCAAUGGACGCAAGUCUGAACCAGCCAUGCCGCGUGCAGGAAGACGGCUCUAUGAGUUGUAAACUGCUUUUGUACGAGGGUAAACGCAGAUACGCGUAUCUGUCUGAAAGUACCGUACGAAUAAGGAUCGGCUAACUCCGUGCCAGCAGCCGCGGUAAUACGGAGGAUUCAAGCGUUAUCCGGAUUUAUUGGGUUUAAAGGGUGCGUAGGCGGUCGGGUAAGUUAGAUGUGAAAUCCCGAGGCUCAACUUCGGAAUUGCCUGUGAUACUGGUCGGCUAGAGGGUAGUAGCGGUAGGCGGAAUGUAUGGUGUAGCGGUGAAAUGCUUAGAGAUCAGGCAGAACACCGAUUGCGAAGGCAGCUUACCGGGCUACUACUGACGUUGAGGCACGAAAGCGUGGGGAGCAAACAGGAUUAGAUACCCGGGUAGUC